GAUGAAGAACGUAGCAAAAUGCGAUAAGUAAUGUGAAUUGCAGAAUUCAGUGAAUCAUCGAAUCUUUGAACGCACAUUGCGCCCGCCAGUAUUCUGGGGGGCAUGCCUGUUCGAGCGUCAUUUCAACCCUCAAGCACAGCUUGGUGUUGGGACUCGCGUUAAUUCGCGUUCCCCAAAUUGAUUGGCGGUCACGUCGAGCUUCCAUAGCGUAGUAGUAAAACCCUCGUUACUGGUAAUCGUCGCGGCCACGCCGUUAAACCCCAACUUCUGAAUGUUGACCUCGGAUCAGGUAGGAAUACCCGCUGAACUUAAGCAUAUCAAUAAGCGGAGGA
rnacentral:misc_RNA from 1 species